rnacentral:misc_RNA from 1 species
AAGUCGUAACAAGGUCUCCGUAGGUGAACCUGCGGAGGGAUCAUUGCUGUUGGAGAAUAAAAACGGAUUUAUUCGUUUUUUAUUUAUCAUUUGCGCUUGUUUUGUUUGACAAAAGUAAUCAAUUAUUUAUGAUUUAAUGACAACUUUUAACAAUGGAUCUCUUGGCUCUU